rnacentral:rRNA from 1 species
CACGUAGGUGACAAGCGUUGUCCGGAUUUACUGGGCGUAAAGAGCGCGCAGGCGGUCGAUCAAGUCGAGUGUGAAAGCCCCCGGCUCAACUGGGGAGGGUCAUUCGAUACUGAUCGACUCGAAGGCAGGAGAGGGUAGUGGAAUUCCCGGUGUAGUGGUGAAAUGCGCAGAUAUCAGGAGGAACACCGGUGGCGAAGGCGGGUCUCUGGGCAGUAACUGACGCUGAGGAGCGAAAGCGUGGGGAGCGAACAGG